rnacentral:tRNA from 2 species
GCAGUCGUGGCCGAGUGGUAAGGCGAUAAACUAGAAAUCCAUUGGGGUUUUCCCGCACAGGUUCAAAUCCUGUCGACUGCG